rnacentral:rRNA from 1 species
CGACCGCUGGCGGCGCGUCUUAAACAUGCAAGUCGAACGGCAGGAAGGGGCUUGCCCCUUCUGAGAGUGGCGGACUGGUGAGUAACACGUGGGUGACAUACCUUUUAGUUGGGGAUAGCUAUUAGAAAUAGUAGGUAAUACCGAAUGUGACCGUACCUGUUAGAGGGGUACGAGGAAAGGAGCUAAGGCUUCGCUAAAAGAAUGGCUCGCGGCCCAUUAUGCUCGUUGGUGAGGUAACGGCCCACCAAGGCGAUGAUGGGUAUCCGGCCUGAGAGGGUGAACGGACACAUUGGGACUGAGAUACGGCCCAGACCUCUACGGGAGGCAGCAGUUAAGAAUAUUCCGCAAUGGACGAAAGUCUGACGGAGCGACGCCGCGUGGAUGAAGAAUGCCGAAAGGUUGUAAAAUCCUUUUAAGCCUGAUGAAUAAGCACAGUAGGGAAUGAUUGUGCGGUGACCGUAGGGCUUGAAUAAGCACCGGCUAAUUACGUG